GAGACCAAAGCUCCUUCUGGCUUCCACCUUCUCCCCAGCUAUCAAAACUUUCAAAACUCUCCAUAUGAACGUUUAUGCUUGAGGAAAUGGGGGUGAUCAGACCCAAAGGCCACUUGCUUGUGUCGGUUUACAGUAGCUGUGUAUAGAGAGAACAUCUCAUACCUUGCCAGGUGGUCUGGGGCAGAUAAGGAAGAAGGAGGGAUUUGUGGCGUCUUGCCUUGGUGAGGCAGUUGGAAGACUUUUCUUCUGAUUAGCUUGGUGAAGCAUCCACCCCCACAUCAAGCAACCGCAUGAGGAGACUUCAUGAACAAGUCUCACCCAGGAGAGCCACUCACCCCUGUAGCUAAAGCCAAGGACAGUGGAUUUCUUUCCCCACAAGAUGGCUGCCCUGUGGGUCAGGAGACGGGAGCUUCCUAACUAGAUGGAAUGAGGAUGCUGACUGCAGGAAUGGAGGAACUUUUCCCACUGCAGAAGAACAAUGUGGUGCCUACAGGACUGUGCUGGGUGAACAUUGUCCAUUCCUCCCCGCAAGGUGCUCUGGGCCGUGUGGUGAGCCCAGGGAGGAAUGCUGGAGGAGACCAUGGCGGGCAGCAGAGCAGGACUUGGGAAAGCCGUGCGCACUGCUCCAUCUAUCCUCAGUACAUCUGUUCUCAUCAGUGUCUACCUACCCUGCUCACACGUGCCCCUCACUCCUCACUGGCAACAGGCCUUUCUUUCCCCCACCAUCAAAAGAGCUAUUUCAGUGAUUGUCAUCGUACCUGGUCCAUAGCCUCUAGACUAUACAUAUGUCUGUCAAAUUAAUCGGUUAUAAACAUGGAAAGGUUUCUUUCAAAAACGUU